GGAUUGUGGCUCAGUGGUAGAGCACUUGCCUAGCAUGCAUGAGGCACUGGCUUCAAUCCUGAGCACCA
rnacentral:tRNA from 1 species